rnacentral:rRNA from 1 species
CAGCAGCCACGGUAAUACAGAGGAUGCAAGCGUUAUCCGGAAUGAUUGGGUGUAAAGGGAGCGUAGACAGUUAAACAAGUCUGAAGUGAAAUGCCGGGGCUCAACCCCGGAGCUGCUUUGGGAACUGUAGAACUGGAGUGUCGGAGGGGUAAGCGGAAUUCCCAGUGUAGCGGUGAAAUGCGUAGAUAUUGGGAGGAACACCGGCGGCGAAGGCGGCUUACUGGACGACAACUGACGUUGAGGCUCGAAGGCGUGGGUAGCAAACAGGAUUAGAUACCCGCGUAGUCCCUGUCUCUUAUAC